rnacentral:rRNA from 1 species
ACGGUAGGGUAUUGGCCUACCGUGGCAAUGACGGGUAACGGGGAAUUAGGGUUCGAUUCCGGAGAGGGAGCCUGAGAAACGGCUACCACAUCUAAGGAAGGCAGCAGGCGCGCAAAUUACCCAAUCCUAAUACAGGGAGGUAGUGACAAGAAAUAACAAUACAGGACUUUAACAGUUUUGUAAUUGGAAUGAGUUGAGUAUAAACCCCUUUACAAGUAUCAAUUGGAGGGCAAGUCUGGUGCCAGCAGCCGCGGUAAUUCCAGCUCCAAUAGCGUAUAUUAAAGUUGUUGCAGUUAAAAAGCUCGUAGUUGGAUUUCUGUUAAUAAUUUAUAUAUAAUAUUUAACAUAUUUAUAUAAUAUUAACAUAAUUCAUAUUACUAUUUAUAGUAUAUGAAACUUUACUUUGAGAAAAUUAGAGUGCUUAAAGCAGGCUUUUGCCUUGAAUACUAGAGCAUGGAAUAAUAUUAAAGAUUUUUAUCUUUCUUAUUGGUUCUAAGAUAGAAAUAAUGAUUAAUAGGGACAGUUGGGGGCAUUUGUAUUUAACAGUUAGAGGUGAAAUUCUUAGAUUUGUUAAAGACAAACUAAUGCGAAAGCAUUUGCCAAGGAUGUUUUCAUUAAUCAAGAACGAAAGUUAGGGGAUCGAAGACGAUCAGAUACCGUCGUAGUCUUAACCAUAAACUAUGCCAACUAGAGAUUGGAGGUUGUUC